UACGGAGGGUGCAAACGUUGCUCGGAAUUAUGGGGCGGAAAGCGCACGUAGGCGGCCGACUAAGUCGGGUGUGAAAGCCCAGGGCUCAACCCUGGAAGUGCACUCGAAACUGAUCGGCUUGAAUAUGGAAGAGGGUCGCGGAAUUCCCGGUGUAGAGGUGAAAUUCGUAGAUAUCGGGAGGAACACCAGUGGCGAAGGCGGCGACCUGGGCCAAUAUUGACGCUGAGGUGCGAAAGCGUGGGGAGCAAACAGG
rnacentral:rRNA from 1 species